UAUCACAGUUGAGUAAGAUGAAAGUUAGCAGUGUUGUGGUCAUGCUACUCUUGUCACUAUUCGUGUCACAGUCAUAUUGUUUAUGGGGAAAGUGUCCACCUCGUUGCCCCGGCCGCAAAAGGGAAAGCAGUGGCUUACGAAAUGCUGAAGCGGCAAUCCAUUCUCGUCAACGUUUUCGCGUGAGACAAAUACAAAGGUCCAAGAUCAUGGAAGCUGUGGAGCCCGACAUGCUUGAAUGAGACAAAUGAAUAUAUGACAUUGUACUUGUUUAGACGAUGUCUAAUAAUGAUGAAUAAUUUAAGCAUGGAAAGGUAAAAACAACAACAACAAAAGAAAGUUAAUAAAGCAAUGAUAUAAAGUGAUGACGGUUUGAAAUAUGACCAACACUGAUAAGAUAGCCUUGCGUGAAACCAGAAUACAAUGGAAUCUGAUAUUUUACCGAUGGAUAGAACUACUGUAUAACCAUGUUAACUUAUAAAGAAAUAAAUUGAGAUCAAACAAUAAA